CAAGCGCAGCCCGGAGCCACCGCGCCCUGCGCCCCGUGCGAGCGCGCCCGGCCCGGGCCCCGGGCUCAGCCGCCCGGGAGGCCCAAGCCGCGCGCAAACUUUUGCUCCAGUGCCCGGCGUUCCUCCUCGGCAUGUGAAGCCCCUCGGCGCCCGCGCAGUCGUCAGGUUCGCCCCGGGAGCGCGAGCCGCGGGCCGAGAUGCUCCUCCGGGAUCUGGUGCUGCGCCGAGGUUGCUGCUGGCCGUCACUGCUGCUGCACUGCGCGCUCCACCCGCUCUGGGGCUUCGUGCAGGUGACACAUGGUGAGCCCCAGAAGUCCUGCUCCAAGGUGACCGACAGCUGUCAACACGUCUGCCAGUGCCGGCCCCCGCCCCCGCUGCCACCACCACCCCCGCCCCCGCCACCUCCCAGACUCCUCUCCGCCCCAGCUCCCAACGCUACCUCGUGUCCCGCGGAGGAGAGCUGGUGGUCGGGGCUGGUGAUCGUCAUCGCGGUAUGCUGUGCCUCCCUGGUGUUUCUCACUGUGCUUGUCAUCAUUUGCUACAAAGCCAUCAAGAGGAACCAGGCCAUGUAGGCAGCUGUGUGUGCCCAGCUUUUCCCGCACCCAGGCAGACGGGCCUUUCUCUGGUUUAGCAGGAACCCCCAGGUGGCUCACAGGGGGCCGGGCUGGGUCCCCACCAGCUGCCCUAGCACUCAGGAGCCCCGCGGGGUGCACAUUAGGAAACCCCUGAGAAAAGAGGAGAACGGCACUGGCGUUGCUGAGUACCCUAUGACUUCCUCGCAGAGCAGCAAAGGGGUGGACGCGAACAGCGCUGUGGUAUGAGUCCGUAGGCCCCGGACUGCUGGCCAGAGGGACGCCUUGGUGGUGCUGGUGGAGGCGGGAAAGCAGGUGGACACGAGCUGACACUGGGCUUGUCCAGGACUUCAUCGCCUUGCAGGCUUCGAGCCUCCCAAAGGAGAAAGCCUCCUUUGCCCAGCCUCGCCCCUUGGUCAGCCCACAGUGUGGAUGCUGCAGACACCAGGCUGAGCCAGCAGGCAGCAGCCUCUGGGGUAGCACCGUCAUCCGAGGCCCCAUAUCUCUUCCUCAUCUUGUGUCUGAUCCACGGACUGUCCCCUGGCUGGUGCCUAAAGCGCACACCCCGAGAAGGCCGGGAGCCUGUCUGCUGGGGCGAAGAGGUCCCCCCGCCCCUUUCGCCUAAAGGAAACCUCCCCUCCCCACCAGGAAGCCCACCUUCUUCCCUGACCAUGCCGUUCCCGACAGAAGCCAUGGGCACAGCCACGAGACAUCCCCGUUCAAAGGUGCUCCCACCCAUCCUCCCGCCGCCCUGUCGCUGUCUCAGUCUUCAGAGCCUGCCUUCGCCCUCCCAUCUCCAUCACAGGCCCCUGGCUCCUGACUCCCCAUCACGGGGGGCUGUGUGCCCUGUCUGCAGAGUCCAGACUGAGCCGAGAAGCCCAUCACACCCCCGGGUGGGGUCUGACCGUCCAGGGCAAAAUGACGCCUUGAACCCCAGGCCUGGGGCCCUGGAAGGACAGGGGCCACUACCCCUGUCCUCAGACUCACUCCCACACCUGACCCUCAGAGGACCCGACGCUUCCCUGUGAGCCAGGCCCUGCCUUCCCCUGGCAGAGGCCACCCCCGUGCCAAACCCAUCACCGGCGCUCUGGCCUGGGCCCCCGACGCUCCCUGAGGCCUGGUACUCCCCUGAGAGCCCCCAGGCCUGCCGUCAUCCCGAGGGAGCCAGUGUGCUUCUGUGGCUGCCUUGAAUGUCCCUUGUGUUCUGAAAGUGCUGAGCCCUCCGGAGUGGUUGGUGGACGAAGGGAAGGAAAGGAGAUGGGAGGAGAGGGACCCUCCUGGCCUGGUGACUCCGUCUUCUGGCCAAGUGACCCCCACCUGCCAGCCUGUUUUGCCGGUGGCCAGUCACCCUGUGGGCACAUCACUGGGGCCCCAGAGACAGCAGCCUUGUGCUUUUGCACUCCCAGAGGGUUGCGAGAACACUUCUGGCCCUUGGUUCCCUCACCCUCCACGCACUUGCAUGGAGGAACCCAUCACAGCCAGCGGCUCCACUCUCUGGCUAUGCAGGGUCCGAGUCAGGGACCCUGUCUAUCUCCCAGAUCACAAGUGUCAGCUGUUCUCUGGAGGGCGUCUGGGCCACAAGUGAGACUUUCACAUCCAGGGGAGACUGACAGACUGAAAACCAAUCCCUGUUUGGGCUGAACCUUGAAACAUCCAUCGUCCGGCAGCCCUGGUGCCCACAGAGGUGUCUGUGUGCCGAGAGCAGGGGAGAAGGUGAAUGCGCUGUGACCUUGGCCCAGGUCCUGUUGCCAGGUCAGUGAGUGCAGGCUGAGGACAGGCCCCGGGCAGGGCCUCCAGAAAGGGUCUUCCCUUCUUUUCAGUGUUCCCCGUGUGAGGACUGGGUUUGGCUCUGGACUGGCUUUUGCUCUCCCUGUGUGCCUGCUGUGCACCUUAGCACGGGGCCAUCUGUGGCCUUCCUCCCUGCCCCCACCCAGUGGGUACUCUGGUUCGUGCCCUCCACUUGCCAAGGAUGCAGAGCUGAGUGACAAGCAGGCCAGAGGCUGUGGGCCCUCAGCAGGACAGACCCCACCCCAGUGUACUUUCCUCACUGCCUGCAGCUCCUGCUGAGUCCCCUGCCUGCUCCCUGAGCAGACACCCAGGCAGGAUCCCAGGCUGAUGCACAUACUUUUCUGGGUCCAGAAGUGAUGGGAGAGCAUCUUUGGCCAGAGGGAAGAAUCCUGGCUAAGCAGUCGUGGAGUCCUGGGCAGUCAGUCUGGGGGAACAUCGAGGGAGGCUGGGCACACCCCAACUUUUGCAAAAGCUCACUGAUCCCACCUUCCCCAACCUGGGCAUAAACCUGAGUGGCUCAGAUUUUGCAAUUAAUCCUCCAGCCCCAGCCAGGCUCCCCAUCAGGAUCCCCAGAAAACCAUCAGUCCUUCACUCUGGAGCUAGUGUCCGCUUCCCUGAGGACACACAGCCUGGGCUCCGUGCAAAGCUAACAUUUGCACAUAAAUUCCCCCAAAUUGAGUUUGUCAAAUCUCCUCUCACCCAGUCUUUUCUUCUUUACUAAGAAAAGACCCCAGUUUUUAAAAGAGAACAAACCCAGAACUGGCCAUUUGGGAGACAGCCCUCAUGGGUGCAGGGAGAGAGCCCCCAUGGAUUUUCAGCUUAAUCAACAGAAGAUCCCUAAAACCACCCAGCUAAAUUUCAGGAACGUAUCUUCAGCCCCUCAACACGGACCAAUCCUCAGGCUAGCCUGAACUUUCGAGAGUUCAGACUCUCGAAAGGAAAGGCACAUUCCUCUUCUGCAUUUUCUCAAAUAGAUAUUUUUCGACCGUCUCCUGUCAAGCCCAGCUUUAGAAUGGCAUAUAGGAUCUUCCAGAGGUUUCAGGUGUUGCUUAGAUGCUUCUAAAGCAAGUUUUGGAAGAAAGACUAAUUGCUGUAAAAAUAGACAUAUAUAUUAUAUACAGUUAUAUAUAUUUAAAGAGAUAUCUAUCUACCUAUAUAUAUAUAAUUACUGUACUCUAUGAAUCUGUACAAAGUAUGAUUUCAACAGCCCAGGUAGUGUGCGAUAUCUAAUGCAUGAAUGUAAAUACCCUCAGACCUGCCUUCCUCAUGGUUGCUAAGAGUGCACAGGAAGAAGCCUCCUGUUCCCAGUUCUGUCUCAAUGGACCAAUACACACGUUGGUGCCCUCCUGUCCACCGCCAAGCCUCUGAUGUCGACUCUGUGCUGAGAUGUUGUGCAGGAAGCAGGACAGGCAGUGUGGGGGGUGGGCUACAUGCUGCUUAUGAGGAAGAAAGCACCAUGCCUUUUUAUUUUCAAUAAAAAUAUACUUAUGAA